rnacentral:rRNA from 1 species
AUCUUUAUAAUUUUACUAUCAAAUCCACCUUCAAUAAAUUUUUCAUAUUUUAAUUCAUAAUAAAUAAAUUUAUUGUAAUUCAUUUUUACUUAAACAUAAGCUACACCUUGAUCUGAAAUAAAUUAUUUUUAUAAUUAAAGAAAAUUUUUAUUCUUUUAAAAUAUUCUGAUAACGACGGUAUAUAAACUGAUUACAAAUUUAAGAAAGGUACAACGUGGUUUAUCGAUUAAAAAACAAAUUCCUCUGAAUAGACUAAAAUACCGCCAAAUUUUUUAAGUUUUAAGAUCAUAACUAUUAC